rnacentral:rRNA from 1 species
GAUGAACGCUGGCGGCGUGCCUAAUACAUGCAAGUCGAGCGAACAGACGAGGAGCUUGCUCCUCUGACGUUAGCGGCGGACGGGUGAGUAACACGUGGAUAACCUCCCUAUAAGACUGGGAUAACUUCGGGAAACCGGAGCUAAUACCGGAUAAUAUCUUGAACCGCAUUGUUCAAUAGUGAAAGACGGUUUUGCUGUCACUUAUAGAUGGAUCCGCGCCGUAUUAGCUAGUUGGUAAGUUAACGGCUUACCAAGGCAACGAUGCGUAGCCGACCUGAGAGGGUGAUCGGCCACACUGGAACUGAGACAGGGUCCAGACUCCUACGGGAGGGAGCAGUAGGGAAUCUUCCGCAAUGGGCGAAAGCCUGACGGAGCAGCGCCGCGUGAGUGAUGAAGGUCUUCGGAUCGUAAAACUCGGUUAUGAGGGAAGAACAAAUGUGUAAGGAACUGUGCACGGCUUGACGGUACCUAAUCAGAAAGCCACGGCUAACUACGUG